rnacentral:rRNA from 1 species
UACCAGCACCCCGAGUGGUCGGGACGUUUAUUGGGCCUAAAGCAUCCGUAGCCGGUUCUACAAGUCUUCCGUUAAACCCACCUGCUUAACAGAUGGGCUGCGGAAGAUACUAUGGAGCUAGGAGGCGGGAGAGGCAAGCGGUACUCGAUGGGUAGGGGUAAAAUCCGUUGAUCCAUUGAAGACCACCAGUGGCGAAGGCGGCUUGCCAGAACGCGCUCGACGGUGAGGGAUGAAAGCUGGGGGAGCAAACCGG